GACGAACGCUGGCGGCGUGCUUAACACAUGCAAGUCGAACGGAAAGGCCCUGCUUGCAGGGUACUCGAGUGGCGAACGGGUGAGUAACACGUGGGUGAUCUGCCCUGCACUUCGGGAUAAGCCUGGGAAACUGGGUCUAAUACCGGAUAGGAGCCAUUUUUAGUGUGAUGGUUGGAAAGUUUUUUCGGUGUAGGAUGAGCUCGCGGCCUAUCAGCUUGUUGGUGGGGUAAUGGCCUACCAAGGCGGCGACGGGUAGCCGGCCUGAGAGGGUGGACGGCCACAGUGGGACUGAGAUACGGCCCAGACUCCUACGGGAGGCAGCAGUGGGGAAUAUUGCACAAUGGGCGCAAGCCUGAUGCAGCGACGCCGCGGGGGGGAGGACGGCCUUCGGGUUGUAAACGCCUUUCGCUAGGGACGAAGCUUUUUGUGACGGUACCUAGAGAAGAAGCACCGGCUAACUACGUG
rnacentral:rRNA from 1 species